GUGGGUUAUAGGAAGAGCAUCAUAGCUGCAGUACGUUCAGUUAGUUUCCACCUCAACAUCGUCCACUUUAAGUGAUUUGACUCUCCACAGAACUGCUGAUUCUAAUAAACCACUCAAUUCCACACAAACCCAAUUUCACUUCAGCUCUUUUCCUGACUCGCCCUCACAUAAAGAGAAACAACAAAGUCUCACAGCGUCUCGUCAUCCACGGAGCAUGAAGCAGUUUGACAUUCUACGAUACUGUGAGUAAAUCUGCAGAGCUGUAGACUCAAAAACCAUGUAAAGCUGAACAUCUCUGACUGCACUGACACGCUGUAGAGAAAACCUCGACUCUCCUGCAUCUCUGAACUUCAACACUCAGGAUCAGCAAUGGACUUGAAGAAAAGCCCUUCUCUGUUUUGUCCCCACAUUCUAUAAGUGCAUUUCCCAUGUUUAUAUAGAAAUCUGCUCUCUGUGUGUAAAUCCAUCGUGAUAUUCAGCAUGUUUGAGGAUGAGCUUUAAUAACAUUCGUUUAAAACCAUGUUCAUGUGUGAAACCGCCAUUUAAACUGCUGCUGACAUUUACAAUCAACUGGAAGGAUCAUUGGCGUGGAAAUGUCAUAGCCUGGAGAACUGGAGUAUGAAGGGAGGAGAAUGAUCAAUCUGUGCUUCAAUACAAUCCUGUCUGUGGUCUACAGACAGUUCCUUGGAUUUCAUGGCGUGGUUUGUGCUCUGACAUGCACUGUUAACUGUGGGACCUUCUAUAUCUCAGGUGUUGGAGUGAGCGAGUGGUGAUGGUGGUGAAGGAAAAACUCCCUGAGAUGGUAUGAGGAAGAAACCUGAGAGGAACGAGAUUUAAAAGGGAUCCUCAUCCUCACAUUCACAUCCUUCAUCAUCACAUUAUUUAUUAUUUUCUCUCUCAAAACAGCAAACUGCACAUUAGUGAUGUAGUUUUAGCUCAGUAAUGUG